CUACGGGACGCAGCAGUGAGGAAUAUUGCACAAUGGGGGGAACCCUGAUGCAGCAACGCCGCGUGGAGGAUGACGCAUUUCGGUGUGUAAACUCCUUUUAUAUGUCAAGAAAAUGACGGUAGCAUAUGAAUAAGCACCGGCUAACUCCGUGCCAGCAGGCCGCGGUAAUACGGAGGGUGCAAGCGUUACUCGGAAUCACUGGGCGUAAAGGACGCGUAGGCGGGCUUGUAAGUCAGGUGUGAAAUCCUACAGCUUAACUGUAGAACUGCACUUGAAACUACGAGCCUAGAGUAUGGGAGGGGGAGAUGGAAUUAGUGGUGUAGGGGUAAAAUCCGUAGAUAUCACUAGGAAUACCUAAAGCGAAGGCGAUCUCCUGGAACAUAACUGACGCUAAGGCGUGAAAGCGUGGGGAGCAAACAGGAUUAGAUACCCGAGUAGUC
rnacentral:rRNA from 1 species